GACAGAGGGUGCAAACGUUGUUCGGAUUUACUGGGCGUAAAGCGCGUGUAGGCGGCUUCGUAAGUUGGAUGUGAAAUCCCACGGCUCAACCGUGGACGUGCAUCCAAAACUACGUCGCUGGAGUCUCGGAGAGGAAGGUGGAAUGCUUGGUGUAGAGGUGAAAUUCGUAGAUAUCAAGCAGAACACCUGCGGCGAAGGCGGCCUUCUGGACGAUGACUGACGCUGAGACGCGAAAGCGUGGGAGCAAACAGG
rnacentral:rRNA from 1 species